UCAAGUUGGUUCUAUUUAUGGAGGUGAAUGUGUGUGUGUAAACAUCUCGUAGAUGAGACUGCCUGGGUUAUUUUGUUUGUUUUAUAACACAUAG